rnacentral:rRNA from 1 species
ACCCGCUGAACUUAAGCAUAUCAAUAAGCGGAGGAAAAGAAACCAACAGGGAUUGCCUCAGUAACGGCGAGUGAAGCGGCAACAGCUCAAAUUUGAAAUCUGGCCUCUUUGGGGUCCGAGUUGUAAUUUGUAGAGGAUGUUUCGGGUACCGCCCUCGGUCUAAAUUUCUUGGAACAGAAUGUCAAAGAGGGUGAGAAUCCCGUCUUGGACCGGCGGUAGGGCCCAUGUGAAACUCCUUCGACGAGUCGAGUUGUUUGGGAAUGCAGCUCAAAAUGGGUGGUAAAUUUCAUCUAAAGCUAAAUAUUGGCCAGAGACCGAUAGCGCACAAGUAGAGUGAUCGAAAGAUGAAAAGCACUUUGAAAAGAGAGUUAAACAGUAUGUGAAAUUGUUGAAAGGGAAGCGCUUGCAACCAGACUUGAGCGCGGCGGUUCCCCCUUCCUUUUGGUUGGGUUACUCCGUCGUGUCCAGGCCAACAUCGGUUCUGGGGGUCGGUUAAAGGCCUGAGGAAUGUAUCUACUCCUUCGGGGGUAGACUUAUAGCCUCGGGUGUCAUGCGACCUCCCGGGACCGAGGAACGCGCUUCGGCUCGGAUGUUGGCGUAAUGGUUGUCAGCGACCCGUCUUGAAACACGG